rnacentral:tRNA from 1 species
GGGCCGUUAGCUCAGUUGGCUAGAGCGCUGCUAUGGCAUAGCAGAGGUCAGGGGUUCGAGCCCCCUACGGUCCACCA